CAGAGUAAAACUCAAAAAACGGUACUCAGUUCGGAUUGAAGGCUGAAAUUCGCCUUCAUGAAGCUGGAAUUGCUGGUAAUCGCGGAUCAGCAAGCCGCGGUGAAUACGUUCCCGGGCCUUGUACACACCGCCCGUCACACCAUGAGAGUCGGGAACACCCGAAGUCCGUAGUCUAACCGCAAGGGGGGCGCGGCCGAAGGUGGGUCCGGUAAUUGGGGUGAAGUCGUAACAAGGUACC
rnacentral:rRNA from 1 species